GUUGUUUCCACAGUUUGGCUAUUGUACAUAGAGCUGCAAUGACCAUGAGAGUGCUAGUGUUAAUAUCUCUUCAAGAUCCUGAUUUGGCCAACAGGAAUAGGAAAAGAUGCUCAACAUCACCCAUCAUCAAAGAAAUGCAAAUCAAAACCACAGUGAAACAGCACCUCACACUGCUUAGGAUGGCUAUUAUAUAAAACAACAGCAAACCAAAAACCCCAAAAGACAAGUGUUGGCCAGGCUAUGGAGAAACUGAAACCCUUGUGCGCUGUUGGUAGGAAAGUAAAAUGGUGCAGCCACUGUGGAAAACAGUAUAGAGAGUCCUCAAAAAAUUAAGAAUAGAACUACCAUGUGAUCCAGCUAUCCCACUUGUGGAUAUUUGUGCAAGCAAGUUAUUUUAAGGUGACUUUAAUUCUGUCCAACUCUACAUUGCUUUAACCAUCUGGGUGGAACUAUUUCAGCAUUUCUCACCCCAUUUCCUUUUAUGGAAAAUAGCACAAACAAAGCAGAGGACUCAGAAAUUCUUUAGUCAAAUAAUAAGAACGGACCAUGCUGAAGUAAAACAUUGUGUUAAAAUACCAGAUGAACUUGAAAGUUAGACAGCAGUUUUAGGAGAAAUUAAUGUUCUGGAAAGACACUGGCUUGUAUGCAAAUGUAGUCUUAUAUAAUUGUUUCCUGUUUCGCUUUCCCUCUCACUCACCUGAGCUGAGUCAGUUAAAAAUUUGCCUUUACGGCCGGAAGGCUUGAGUCAGGAAUGAAAAGAAGGGAACCCUGAAAGAGCCUUCAAGAGGAAACUGCUGCCGAAACUUCAAACCCAGGUCCAAGGAGAUGUGAGUAAUUCAAUACUGUUAAAAUAAUCCCGUGCUAUGUUGUCAGAGCAAUCCCAGCCUGGAUUCUCUCCCACAAAGUACACCCGAAGGUUUGUUAGUCAGAGUGAUGGCUACAGUACUGAUACUGUUUGUGACAGGUUGCAGCAAAACCCACUCAAUCUUUCUGCUGGCUGUUGCAGCGAUGUGACAGAGUUGGACUAAUGCUACUGUACAGAUCACUCAUUUUAGCUUGUUGAUACAACUUCAGAUGGAAUGGAAGGGAUCUCUCAAGUCAUCUAGGGGCUGGCCCCAUAGCUGAGUGGUUAAGUUCGUGCGCUCUGCUGCAGGCAGCCCAGUGUUUCGUUGGUUCGAAUCCUGGGUGUGGACAUGGCACUGCUCAUUGAGCCACACUGGGGCAGCGUCCCACAUGCCAUAACUUGAAGGACCCACAGUGAAGAAUAUACAACUAUGUGUUGGAGGGCUUUGGGGAGAAAAAGG
rnacentral:lncRNA from 1 species